GUCUACGGCCAUACCACCCUGAACGCGCCCGAUCUCGUCUGAUCUCGGAAGCUAAGCAGGGUCGGGCCUGGUUAGUACUUGGAUGGGAGAAAAACAUGUAUACAAAUUAAAAUGAAAAAGUUGUAGAUU
rnacentral:rRNA from 1 species